rnacentral:rRNA from 1 species
UGCGUAGGCGGCUACGUGUGUCAGAGGUGAAAUCCCACGGCUCAACCGUGGAAUUGCCUUUGAAACUGCGUAGCUUGAGUCCGAGAGAGGAUGAUGGAAUUCCUGGUGUAACGGUGAAAUGUGCAGAUAUCAGGAAGAACACCGGUGGCGAAGGCGGUCAUCUGGCUCGGUACUGACGCUGAGGCACGAAAGCUAGGGUAUCGAACG